AUUGAACGCUGGCGGCAGGCCUAACACAUGCAAGUCGAGCGGAUGAAGGGAGCUCGCUCCUGGAUUCAGCGGCGGACGGGUGAGUAAUGCCUAGGAAUCUGCCUGGUAGUGGGGGACAACGUUUCGAAAGGAACGCUAAUACCGCAUACGUCCUACGGGAGAAAGCAGGGGACCUUCGGGCCUUGCGCGAUCAGAUGAGCCUAGGUCGGAUUAGCUAGUUGGUGAGGUAAAGGCUCACCAAGGCGACGAUCCGUAACUGGCCUGAGAGGAUGAUCAGUCACACUGGAACUGAGACACGGUCCAGCCUCCUACGGGAGGCAGCAGUGGGGAAUAUUGGACACUGGGCGAAAGCCUGAUCCAGCCAUGCCGCGUGUGUGAAGAAGGUCUUCGGAUUGUAAAGCGCUUUAAGUUGGGAGGAAGGGUUGUAGAUUAAUACUCUGCAAUUUUGACGUUACCGACAGAAUAAGCACCGGCUAACUCUGUGCCAGCCGCCGCGGUAA
rnacentral:rRNA from 1 species